CCUCAGUGCCAUCAUAUCGUUGCUGAGUUCUCGAUUCACAAAUCUCACUGAUACCCUAAAAGUGCUGAAUGUGACUUACCAGAGAAUUUCAAACACCUCCUAUGCACUCAUCUUCAACAUCAGCAUCAGUAAUAUUAGCAUUUCAGAGAACCGUGAAAUUGAGAACAACACCUACAGUCAAGUGGAGAACGCCAUCAAUAAUGCCCUAAACACACUGCUCAAUGCACCUAAUGCAGAUCCAUUUACACCCAAGUCCUCCAACUACACAUUAUCAGGAAAGCAGAUUGGAGGUGAAAUUGAGUACAGCUUUCAAAAUGGAGAUACUAAAAAUCCAGUCAACUAUCUCAGUGAGCUCCAGAAACAAAGCGGUAUUUAUACAUCAGGUCCUCCAUCAACUUCAAGCGUUCCACUGUUGUCUUCUACAGCCACUCCAAA